rnacentral:rRNA from 1 species
UGAGGAACAUGACCUUCGGCGGGGGAUAGCCGGCCCAACGGCCGGGUAAUACCGCGUACGACCACAUGGGGACAUCCCUGAGUGGUGGAAGCAGCAAUGCGCCGAUGGAGUGCCUCGCGGCCUAUCAGCUAGUUGGUGAGGUAACGGCUCACCAAGGCGACGACGGGUAGCUGGUCUGAGAGGAUGGCCAGCCACAGUUGGGACUGAGACACGGCCCAGACUCUACGAGGG